rnacentral:misc_RNA from 1 species
GAUGAAGAACGUAGCGAAAUGCGAUAAGUAAUGUGAAUUGCAGAAUUCAGUGAAUCAUCGAAUCUUUGAACGCACAUUGCGCCCGCCAGUAUUCUGGCGGGCAUGCCUGUUCGAGCGUCAUUACAACCCUCAGGCCCCCGGGCCUGGCGUUGGGGAUCAGCGGAAGCCCCCUGCGGGCACAACGCCGUCCCCCAAAUACAGUGGCGGUCCCGCCGCAGCUUCCAUUGCGUAGUAGCUAACACCUCGCAACUGGAGAGCGGCGCGGCCACGCCGUAAAACACCCAACUUCUGAAUGUUGACCUCGAAUCAGGUAGGAAUACCCGCUGAACUUAAGCAUAUCAAUAAGCGGAGGA